GCGAGUAUAACUCUCUAAAACCAUUGUGAACGAACGAACCCGUUGCUUCGGCGGACGGCUCUGCUGCCGCCGGAAGAACGCAAACUCUUGUUAUUAUUGUUUCUCUGAGUACCUAUUCAAUAAGUAA
rnacentral:misc_RNA from 1 species